UUGAAGUUAAUGAUGAAUACAAUUAUAAGGGUUGUCUUGCUCAGGAUGCGCUCCUCAAGGUGAAUGAGGCCAUUACAAAUGCCGUGGGUAUGGUCAAGGCUUUUGACAGGAAGACUAACAACAAAAAUAAGGAGUUUUAAGAUUCUUGUUCCUUUUAGCCAGUCUGCUAAUAUUAUUGAGAAAUUUAGUACUGCCAUUAAGAAGUUGAGAAAAAAGACAAUUUUAAAUGAAUAGAUUUAGAUAUUUCAUGUAGUUUAUUUACUAAGAUAAUUUUAAAUAAAUAGAAAUUUAGU
rnacentral:lncRNA from 1 species